UAUAUAACAAAACAGAAUUCAUUACACGAAACAUAUUUUAAUCCUCACUCUUAUAACCUAAUUCUUGUUUUUAUUUCAAAUCAAACUUACACUAGAAAUAUCACAAUACACUGAAAAUAUCACAUGUAAGGUUUUAUCGUGUGAUGAAGUUUAUAUCAUCAUCGAUGCGAGACGAAAUGAAUCCCUCUAUCGCAUGGAUAACACACACACAUAAAUUUUACAAUGGUCACAGCAGUUACGUUUGCUAUGUGACCCACACUCACAAAUACCUAUCCUUGUCUGGACUAGGUUUCAAACUUUAUCCAUGUGCAGGUUCACCAUACCUGCUGAACUUCAGCUACACACACACCCUCCCCUCCUCGAUUCAGACUAAACGAGUAGGUAUUCAGAGUCCUUACACUCUAUACUCUUUCCAAAUCUCUCUCAUUUCUAAUUCACUUAUUUUUUACCUAAGAUCUUAAUUUUUAUGUAUAAUUUAACACAAACAAACACACAAAAUACAUAAUAUCAUCACGCACAUCAGAACCAUAAAUUUCAAAACAUUUUUUGAAUCAUCUUGUACUAGAU
rnacentral:lncRNA from 1 species